UACAGAGGUCCCGAGCGUUGUUCGGAUUCACUGGGCGUAAAGGGUGCGUAGGUGGCAAGGUAAGUUUGAUGUGAAAUCUCCGAGCUUAACUCGGAAAAUGCAUUGAAUACUAUCUGGCUAGAGGUUUGGGGGGGGGACUGGAAUUCUUGGUGUAGCAGUGAAAUGCGUAGAUAUCAAGAGGAACACCAGUGGCGAAGGCGAGUCCCUGGACAACACCUGACACUGAGGCACGAAAGCUAGGGGAGCAAACAGG
rnacentral:rRNA from 1 species